rnacentral:lncRNA from 1 species
UGCGCCACGCUCCAUGGAGGCGCCAAGGAGAAGGCCUGGGAAGGGAAGAGUGAACCUUCCCUGGUGGAGGGCCCACUCCUCAGGCAGUGGGGAGACCGCCUUUUGCAUGCGACAGGACUUACCAGUUACUAUUGGCACCGGAACCACCAUCUGAGAUACAGGAGAAGACAGAAAUGGAAGCAAAGGAAGGGAGUUCCACAACUGUGUGCAACAGCAACCCAGUGGAAAAAGAAGAAACAGGACAAGAAGCCUAGAAGGUGAAAAAAAACGAAGUAGGUCAGCUAGAGAAACACCAAGUGCUCACGGGAUCGCAUUGUACAUGACUCAAGACUGUCUAAAUUUCAAGAUGGAAAAAUAGAAAACAGAGACCCCCAAGAGGUUGAACAGCUUGCCGAGAAUCAUGACCAGUUGGGAGGCCAGUUCUGACACCAGAGGUCCUGACGGCCAGGCCAGCACUGUUUUCUGUAGACAUGGUAUCUUCUAAAAGGCAUUUAUCAUUUUUUUUCCUUUCAGAAUUAAAUGAAGACUAAACUCCUGUACACGUGUUUGUUGGUAGAGGCCAUCACAGAAUAUGGCCACCAUACUGUGAUCUGCCAACCCAAUUAAGAUACUGGCCAUGGCUUCUAAUUUGUGUUUUACACUGUUCAGACAUAAAUAUUUAAAAUUUGUUGCAUUGCAAUCUGUUUGGUUGUAAAGAUUUGACCUAUGAAGCAAGAAGUGUUCAUGAAUGAGGUUUAAGGAUGUCAGGGGUGACUCAGAAGGAAACGCGCUAGAACAGCAAGGAUCAGGGAAGCAGCGCUUUUCUCUUUGCAAGUCAUAAAAUACAAUGCCUGAAAGAGCUAAUAAGCCUUGUUAUCUAAUCAUGUCUAAUGGACCUGCUGCAUAGCAGGGAAGUCCUUGGAUGGCUGAAAUCUUCUUCCAGCCAGGUGGGUUUUUCUGGUUGGCCCCAUCAAAACGAACACACUGUGAUUUCAUGUUUUAUGAAAUAGUUCAAGUUGAAAAACUGGAAACAAAACCAGUCAUUCACAUGUGAACCGCAGUAGCAACAAGAACAAUAAAAUAAGAGUCUGGAACUCCAGAUCUGAGGACAGGGUGGAGAAUGUGAAGAAGGGUAAGGAUUAGAUACAGAAGCACAGCCAGGAAGACUGGGCAAUAA